ACGGCUGUGGUCCAGUGGUAAGACACGACCCUCCCAAGGUCGGAACCCGGGUUCAAAUCCCGGCAGCCGUA
rnacentral:tRNA from 1 species